UACGGGGGGGGCAGGCGUUGUUCGGAAUUACUGGGCUUAAAGGGUGCGUAGGCGGCGCGGUAAGUAGGGUGUGAAAUCCCUCGGCUCAACCGAGGAACUGCGCUCUAAACUACCGUGCUCGAGGGAGAUAGAGGUGAGCGGAACUUAGGGUGGAACGGUGAAAUGUGUUGAUAUCCUAAGGAACACCGGUGGCGAAAGCGGCUCACUGGAUCUCUUCUGACGCUGAGGCACGAAAGCUAGGGUAGCGAACGGG
rnacentral:rRNA from 1 species